GGAACUAGAUGUAGGGCCUGUUCCACGGGUUCUGUGUCGUAGCUAACGCAUUAAGUUCCCCGCCUGGGGAGUACGGCCGCAAGGCUAAAACUCAAAGGAAUUGACGGGGGCCCGCACAAGCGGCGGAGCAUGCGGAUUAAUUCGAUGCAACGCGAAGAACCUUACCAAGGCUUGACAUAGCCGAGAACGCUGUAGAGAUACAGAACUCUUUGGACACUCGGUUACAGGUGGUGCAUGGUUGUCGUCAGCUCGUGUCGUGAGAUGUUCGGUUAAGUCCGGCAACGAGCGCAACCCUCGUCCUAUGUUGCCAGCACGUUAUGGUGGGAACUCAUGGGAUACUGCCGUGGUCAACACGGAGGAAGGUGGGGAUGACGUCAAAUCAUCAUGCCCCUUAUGUCUUGGGCUUCACGCAUGCUACAAUGGCCGAUACAAAGGGCUGCGAUACCGCGAGGUGGAGCGAAUCCCAAAAAGUCGGUCUCAGUUCGGAUUGGGGUCUGCAACUCGACCCCAUGAAGUCGGAGUCGCUAGUAAUCGCAGAUCAGCAACGCUGCGGUGAAUACGUUCCCGGGCCUUGUACACACCGCCCGUCAAGUCAUGAAAGUCGGUAACACCCGAAGCC
rnacentral:rRNA from 1 species